rnacentral:rRNA from 1 species
UACGAAGGGGGCUAGCGUUGCUCGGAAUCACUGGGCGUAAAGAGCUCGUAGGCGGUCUGUCACGUCGGCUGUGAAAACCCGGAGCUCAACUCCGGGCCUGCAGUCGAUACGGGCAAACUGGAGUGUUGCAGGGGAGACUGGAAUUCCUGGUGUAGCGGUGAAAUGCGCAGAUAUCAGGAGGAACACCGAUAGCGAAGGCAGCUCGCUGGGACGGUACUGACGCUGAGGCGCGAAAGCGUGGGGAGCGAACAGG